GAUGAACGCUGGCGGCGUGCCUAAUACAUGCAAGUCGAGCGAACGGACGAGAAGCUUGCUUCUCUGAUGUUUGCGGCGGGCGUGUGUGUAACGCAUGUAUAACCUAUCUAUAAGGCUGGUAUAACUUCGGGAAACCAGAUCUAAUACCGUAUAAUAUUUUGAACCGCAUGAUUCAAAAAUGAAAUACAGUCUUUCUAUCACUUAUAGAUCGUUCCUCGCUUCAUUAGCUAGUUGGUAAGGUAACGGCUUACCAAGGCAACGAUGCAUAGCCGACCUGAGAGGGUGAUCGGCCACACUGGAACUGAGAAACGGUCCAGACUCCUACGGGAGGCAGCAGUAGGGAAUCUUCCGCAAUGGGCGAAAGCCUGACGGAGCAACGCCGCGUGAGUGAUGAAGGUCUUCGGAUCGUAAAACCCUGUUAUUAGGGAAGAACAUAUGUGUAAGUAAAUGUGAACAUCUUGACGGUAACUAAUCAGAAAGCCAAGGCUAACUACGUG
rnacentral:rRNA from 1 species